CCUACGGGAGGCUGCAGUGGGGAAUAUUGCGCAAUGGGCGAAAGCCUGACGCAGCAACGCCGCGUGCGGGAUGACGGCCUUCGGGUUGUAAACCGCUUUCAGCAGGGACGAAGGGUUUCUGACGGUACCUGCAGAAGAAGCACCGGCUAACUACGUGCCAGCAGCCGCGGUGAUACGUAGGGUGCGAGCGUUGUCCGGAAUUAUUGGGCGUAAAGAGCUUGUAGGCGGUCCGUUGCGUCGGAAGUGAAAACUCGGGGCUUAACCCCGAGCCUGCUUUCGAUACGGGCGGACUUGAGGGAUGUAGGGGAGAACGGAAUUCCUGGUGGAGCGGUGGAAUGCGCAGAUAUCAGGAGGAACACCAGUGGCGAAGGCGGUUCUCUGGACAUUUCCUGACGCUGAGAAGCGAAAGCGUGGGGAGCAAACAGGCUUAGAUACCCGAGUAGUC
rnacentral:rRNA from 1 species